rnacentral:rRNA from 1 species
GACGAACGCUGGCGGCGUGCUUAACACAUGCAAGUCGAGCGGUAAGGCCCUUUCGGGGGUACACGAGCGGCGAACGGGCGAGUAACACGUGGGUGACCUGCCCUCAGCUCUGGGAUAAGCCUGGGAAAACCGGGUCUAAUACUGGAUAUGACUCCAUGACGCAUGUUGUGGGGUGGAAAGCCUUGUGCGGCUGAGGAUGGGCCCGCGGCCUAUCAGCUUGUUGGUGGGGUGAGGCCUACCAAGGCGACGACGGGUAGCCGGCCUGAGAGGGCGACCGGCCACACUGGGACUGAGACACGGCCCAGACUCCUACGGGAGGCAGCAGUGGGGAAUCUUGCGCAAUGGGCGAAAGCCUGACGCAGCGACGCCGCGUGAGGGAUGACGGCCUCGG